UUUACGUCGUACAUAUUCCUUUACGUCGUACGUAUUUUUUUUACGUCGUACGUUAAAUUAUUUUGUUUAUGUCGCGAACUCGAUGAUCUCACAUAGUAAAGUUAACUGUAAAGUCGUGGCAUAGGCCAGGUAUAUAGAAGAGAGAGAGAGAGAGAGAGAAAGAGAAAGAGAGAGAUAGAUAGAUAGUGAGAGAGAGAGGGGGGGGAGUUCUAGGAAUCCGUAGAUCGUAGCGCGCCAAUGUUUACUUAUUUUCUCCCGAGCUUCGUAGUUACAUUGAACGUAUUCAGUCACACCUAGGUCAUAGCAGAGUGAACAUCGAAGACGAUAAAUUCUCUCAAAUGUAAAGAGUUUAAGAUAGAGAAAUAAACACAGAAGAAGAAGAAGAAGAAGAAGAAGAAAGACAAGAAUAAGAUGAAGGUGGUUGUCUCGUGGUGAUAUUGUCGAACGCGGAAGAUGUCUAAGCCCGAACUCAAGUCCGUAUCUAAGCAAGCCUCCGGUCUCCGGAGGUCCCUUUUUUUUCUAAAUUGUAUCUAUUGGCUCGUAGCGAUUGAAAGUAAUUGAAUGAAGCGGCCGGUUAUUUACGAACGUUUAAGCCGAGCCAACUAUCUGUCCAUUCAUUCGGUCUUGUCCCUUCAUUCAUUCAUCAUUCACUCUCGACCGGUGUACGGGUGCUGCAUGUAUAGCAGUAGUAAAGGCCCAUUCAAUUGAUCGGUGAUUGUCUAAAUUAUAAGAUUGCCAUACAAUGGCUCUCAUCUCGACCUAUUGGGGUCCCGUUCGCCCCGUUGCGUCACCACUUUAGGACCGGAUCGUAAGCGCGAACAUAUUAAAAUGCCUUACCUAUGAAAAAUCGGACACGCAUGAGAGUGAGAGAUACCUUAGGACAAGGAUCAUCCUCACUGAUGUUUGCUUGGUCCUAAGAUUUUGUCGUCCAUUCGAUUUGCAGAUCGAUUAUUCGAACGAGAAAGACAAAAAAAGGAAAAAAGAAA